UAGUCCACGCUGUAAACGAUGUCGAUUUGGAGGUUGUGCCCUUGAGGCGUGGCUUCCGGAGCUAACGCGUUAAAUCGACCGCCUGGGGAGUACGGCCGCAAGGUUAAAACUCAAAUGAAUUGACGGGGGCCCGCACAAGCGGUGGAGCAUGUGGUUUAAUUCGAUGCAACGCGAAGAACCUUACCUACUCUUGACAUCCAGAGAACUUAGCAGAGAUGCUUUGGUGCCUUCGGGAACUCUGAGACAGGUGCUGCAUGGCUGUCGUCAGCUCGUGUUGUGAAAUGUUGGGUUAAGUCCCGCAACGAGCGCAACCCUUAUCCUUUGUUGCCAGCGGUUCGGCCGGGAACUCAAAGGAGACUGCCAGUGAUAAACUGGAGGAAGGUGGGGAUGACGUCAAGUCAUCAUGGCCCUUACGAGUAGGGCUACACACGUGCUACAAUGGCAUAUACAAAGAGAAGCGACCUCGCGAGAGCAAGCGGACCUCAUAAAGUAUGUCGUAGUCCGGAUUGGAGUCUGCAACUCGACUCCAUGAAGUCGGAAUCGCUAGUAAUCGUAGAUCAGAAUGCUACGGUGAAUACGUUCCCGGGCCUUGUACACACCGCCCGUCACACCAUGGGAGUGGGUUGCAAAAGAAGUAGGUAGCUUAACCUUCGGGAGGGCGCUUACCACUUUGUGAUUCAUGACUGGGG
rnacentral:rRNA from 1 species